rnacentral:rRNA from 1 species
AACGAACGCUGGCGGCAGGCUUAACACAUGCAAGUCGAACGCCCCGCCAGGGGAGUGGCAGACGGGUGAGUAACGCGUGGGAACAUACCCUUUUCUACGGAAUAGCUCUGGGAAACUGGAAUUAAUACCGUAUACGCCCUACGGGGGAAAGAUUUAUCGGGGAAGGAUUGGCCCGCGUUGGAUUUGCUAGUUGGUGGGGUAAAGGCCUACCAAGGCGACGAUCCAUAGCUGGUCUGAGAGGAUGAUCAGCCACAUUGGGACUGAGACACGGCCCAAACUCCGACGGGAGGCAGCAGUGGGGAAGAUUGGACAAUGGGCGCAAGCCUGAUCCAGCCAUGCCGCGUGAGGGAUGAAGGCCUUAGGGUUGUAAAGCUCUUUCACCGAUGAAGAUAAUGACGGUAGUCGGAGAAGAAGCCCCGGCUAACUUCGUG